rnacentral:lncRNA from 1 species
CUGUGACUCAGAUGACCCACUGUGACCUGAAUUAAGAGAGGAACAUUCAUCUCAUCUUAGAGCUGUGGGGCCACAAGGAAGCUGAGCCUCUACCACUGGCCUUGCAUCCAGGGCUUAAAGGGCAAGAGAACAUCACAAUGAAAAGUACCACCACCAGAGAGGCCCAGGGUACAGCGGGCUUACAACGAAUCCAGAUUUUAUUUAUUUGACAGAGAAAUCACAAGUGGGCAGAGAAGCAGGCAGAGAGAGAGGGAGAAGCAGGCGCCCCGCUGAGGACAGAGCCCGAUGGGGGGCUUGAUCCCAGGACCCUGAGAACAUGACCUGAGCCGAAGGCAGAGGCUUAACCCACUGAGACACCCAGAUGCCCCAUCACUACAAUUCUUUAAGAAAUUAUGAAAGUUCUCCAUAGUUCUCCGAAUGCCUCAACCUCAUGUAUGCUUUUUUAAAAUCUAUUGCAAAAGAAAAUGCUGAAUAAAGUUCUCUCUCAUUUCCUAACAGA